GGGUAGGAUUGUGGUUGGGGUAGGGUUAGGGAUAGGGUUAGGAGUAGUGUUAGGGGUAGGGUUAGGGUUAGGUUAAGAGUAGGUGUAGGGUUAACCCAAACCCUACUCCUGACCCAACCCUAACCCUACUCCUACCCCUACUCCUAACCCAAACCCUAACCCUACUCCUAACCCAACCCUCACCCUUCUCUUAACCCUAACACUUACCCUACUCCUAACCCAAUCCUAACUCUACUCCUAACCC